rnacentral:rRNA from 1 species
GAUGAACGCUGGCGGCGUGCCUAAUACAUGCAAGUCGAGCGAACAGAUAAGGAGCUUGCUCCUUUGACGUUAGCGGCGGACGGGUGAGUAACACGUGGGUAACCUACCUAUAAGACUGGAAUAACUCCGGGAAACCGGGGCUAAUGCCGGAUAACAUAUAGAACCGCAUGGUUCUAAAGUGAAAGAUGGUUUUGCUAUCACUUAUAGAUGGACCCGCGCCGCAUUAGCUAGUUGGUAAGGUAACGGCUUACCAAGGCAACGAUACGUAGCCGACCUGAGAGGGUGAUCGGCCACACUGGAACUGAGACACGGUCCAGACUCCUACGGGAGGCAGCAGUAGGGAAUCUUCCGCAAUGGGCGAAAGCCUGACGGAGCAACGCCGCGUGAGUGAUGAAGGUCUUCGGAUCGUAAAACUCUGUUAUUAGGGAAGAACAAAUGUGUAAGUAACUGUGCACGUCUUGACGGUACCUAAUCAGAAAGCCACGGCUAACUACGUG